GAAAUCCCUCGGGAUGUAAACUUCGCAAGAACGGGAAGAAUGAGUAGGGGACAACACCCCCUAUGAUGACGGUACCGUUUGUAAGCUCCGGCUAACUCCGUGCCAGCAGCCGCGGUAAUACGGGGGGAGCAAGCGUUGUUCGGAUUUACUGGGCGUAAAGGGCGCGUAGGCGGCCNCCGCAAGUCAGUUGUGAAAUCUCCGAGCUUAACUCGGAAAGGUCAACUGAUACUGCGGGGCUAGAGUGCGGAAGGGGCAACUGGAAUUCUUGGUGUAGCGGUGAAAUGCGUAGAUAUCAAGAGGAACACCUGCGGCGAAGGCGGGUUGCUGGGCCGACACUGACGCUGAGGCGCGAAAGCUAGGGGAGCGAACGGGAUUAGAUACCCCGGUAGUCCUAGCCUUAAACGAUGAAUGCUUGGUGUCUGGGGUUAUAUAGUCCCCGGGUGCCGUCGCUAACGCUUUAAGCAUUCCGCCUGGGGAGUACGGUCGCAAGACUGAAACUCAAA
rnacentral:rRNA from 1 species